UUUCAGGGGUGGCAGAGGUGGUGGAGGGUUCAGAGGAGGACGAGGUGGUGGAGGUGGCCGAGGUUUUAGAGGCAGAGGACGUUAAGUGAAGUUCUGGGAAAUUCCAAGUCAAUGGUUUCAUCUUCAGGAUAUAAUGAGAGAUCUUUUUUAUGAACUUGGAACGCCAUAAAGUGGACUUUUAAUACGUUAUUGUCUAAAGGAGUGAAGUACUCUCACACGUGUUCCUGGAUUUCUACUGAGAUGAACCAAUUUCUGAUCUACAGAUACUUCUCUUGAAAUCUCCUUGGACCCCUUGUGCUCUUGACAUUAAACAGAAUGUUGUUUUUAAACACUUUUUAUGAGCUAUAUUUUCUAUUUUUUUUAGUCAAAAACUCAACUUGAAGUUGGGAAACCAGUGACUUCCUGAACAAUAGAAGAUGGUCAGCUCGAUAUAUUUUUUAUUUUUUAUUAUCCGUCUUUGUAUUUUGGUUUUGUGUCAAUCUUCAAAUCGUGUUUCAUGGAUUCAUACAAAAUUGUAUCAAAACAACUUGAAUAUGCUUUUGCAGUUAUAUUUAACUUGGCUGUCUAAUGAAUGAUAUGUCUAAAUGACAAAAGUUUUUUGUUUUUUAAAAAUAAAACUGGUAAUAGCUUAG